GUAAUGACAGGUCUGUAGUUGGGGUGUAAUGGCAGGUCUGUAGUUAGGGUGUAAUGGCAGGUCUGUACAGGUUAGGGUGUAAUGGCAGGUCUGUAGUUGGG